AUAGAUCGAAACAAAGAAGAAAAAGAAGAAAAAAAGAGCAUUGUAAAACCAAUAGCUCCCUCGCUACGCUCGGAAUCUAAAAGGUAAAAAAUUAAGCGUGUUUAUCAGUUCAAUAACAGUUUUCCGGAUUUUUCACCCGUGUAAUUUGCAGAUUUCGCUAUAUUUUAAUAAUAUUUCGAGAUUUAAAUCAGAAUAAUAAUUAAAAAUAACAGCUGCAGUGCGUCCAGCUGCACGGCGGCGUUGCACGUAAAAAAUAAAACGCGAGUAAACAAUAUACAAAUUAACAUUACGCUAUUAUAAUCAAAUCCGUUUUUAAUUUAUUUUUGAAAACUAAUUUAUUAAUAUUUUCCAUUCGGCUACCCCGGUCUAUAACAAUCACUCCUCCCCUCUAUACUAAAGUCUUUCUUCGUCCUAAUAUUUUAUUAUAACUCCGUCUUUUCUCAACGUUGACGGAAUUUAUAAGAACGAAAAUAUCAAGACGUAUCAACCGCCUUGUUUACGGGUCGGAUUUCCGAAAAUCCUUUUUUAGUGCGCGUCUACGUUAUACAUAAUAAGAGAUUUUGAAGCCUUUGUGCUAAAUGUCAAGUUUCCAGACCCGCGGUAGGAGGUCUUGAGAUACAGCAAUGACUCAGUAUCGGCUAAUUAAAUAUUCGGCUUUUUUACAAUAACAUAAACCGUAUCAGGU